rnacentral:lncRNA from 1 species
CGCAAGACUAAAUGGAGGAUUCGGAACUAUGAACUUUAAAGGGCAUUUUAGGGAAUUUGGAAUUUUGAAUUUUGCAAGACAUUUUGGGAGACUUGAAAGUUUGAAGCAUGCAGGUUUCAGGGGGAUUUGGAACUUUAAACUUUGCAUGUUGUUUUGGGGAUUUUAAACUUUGAAAUCUGCAUGGCGUUUUGGGGGAUAUAGGACUUUGAAUUCAGCAAGGUGUUUUGGGUAAUUUGGAACUUUGAAACUUGCAAGGCAUUUGGGGGAUUUGGAAAUUUGAACUCUGCAGAGUGAUUUAGGAAAUUUGAAACAUUAAAGUCUGUAGGUAUUAUCAGGGGAUAAAGAACUUUGACAUCUAUAAGGUUUUUUGAUGAAUUCAGAAGUGAAUUUGGUGGCCUACUAAUUCAUGCCAUAAAGUUGUCACAAUACAGACGAAUAUUAUCUAUAUCAAGUCAAGUGUUUGUGAUAAACUGUAGCAAUAUAGGACUCAUUUCGAUGUUAAAAGCCUUAAAAAAGUUGUCCAUUAGUGAACUUUUGUUUUCAUUUAGGCCAUUUUAUAUGUUUUUUGCUAAUGAAUACUUCAUUAUGCAAAAGUUUGGCAUUUAAUAUGAAGUGUAUUUCAAUAUGGAGACCGAAGGUUCUAGGUUAGCCUCAGAUAUUUUAUCUUUCACUUCAUAAAUAAAUCAUAUAACGUGUAAAUAUUAAUGUAAUCAUCUUGACUUGAUUAUUGUUGUAAAUUUUGCAGUUUAUUCUGCUGGUCAAGGGUAUUAUGAUAUACAAUGCAAGUGAGAAGCUUUUGAAUGCAAAGAGAGAGGAUUGUUGGUCUUGCAAUUGUGUCAAUGAGGUUAUAUUUCUCAUGAAUUUUAGUAUCAUAAUACCCUUGACUAAAAGAGCAAACUGCAAAAUUUACAGCAACAAUCAAAGUCAAGAGUAUUACAUUAAUAUUUAGAGGCUAUAUGAUUUAUUUAUCAAGUGAAAGAUAAAGUAUCAGAAACUAACAUAGAACCUUACGUCUCCAUAUUGAUUUAUACUUCAUAUUUAAUCUCAUAGUUUUGCAUAAUUAAGUGUUUAUUAGCAAAAAAAUAUAAAGUCACCUAAAUGAAAACAAAAGUUCACUAAUGGACAAAAUUUUCUUUAAGUCAUCUAAAAUGGAAACCGGUCUGAUGUUGCUACACUUUAUCAUAAACAUUUGACUCGAGAUAGAUAAUAUUCAUCUUUAUUAUGACAAAUUUAUGGCAUGAAUGAGUAGACACCAAAUUCAGUUCCAAAUUCCUGAAUCGAUUGCCAAAAGAGAGUAUAAGUUUAAGAGCAUUUUUGACAUGUGUACCCUUUAUUAUAAUCAUGGAGUUUAAUAAAAGAACAUAUACUACCAACAUUUCUAUAGCUUCCUUUUUAACUUGUGUAGUUGUUGAUGUUUGUAUGGCUUUUUGAGGAGUUUGGAUCUUUGGAAUCUGCGAAUCUAAAUGGAGGAUUCGGGACUUUGAAAUUUGUAAGUCGUUAUAGGAAAUUUGGAAUUUUGAAUUUAACAAGACAUUUUGGGGAACUUUGAAGUUUGAAGCAUGCAGAUUUUCAGAGAGAUUUGAAACUUUAAACUUUGCAUGGUAUUUUGGGGAAUUUGAACUUUGAAAUCUGCAUGAUGUUUUAGCGGAUAUGAGACUUUGAAUUCUGCAAGGUGUUUUGGGUAAUUUGGAACUUUGAAACUUGAAUUGCUUUUCGGGGGAUUUGAAAAUUUGAACUUUGAAGAGUGUUUUAAGAAAUUUGAAACAUCAAAGUCUGUAGGUAUUAUUAGGAGAUAAAGAACUUUGAAAUGUAUAAGGUUUUUUGAGAAAUUCGAAACCGAAUUUGGUGGCCGACUCAUUCAUGCCAUAAAGUUGUAUAAGAAAUUUGAAACAUCAAAUUCUGUAGGUAUUAUUAGGAGAUAAAGAACUUUGAAAUGUAUAAGGUUUUUUGAGAAAUUCGAAACCGAAUUUGGUGGCCGACUCAUUCAUGCCAUAAAGUUGUUAUAAUAAAGACGAAUAUUAUCUAUCUCAAAUCAAGUGUUUAUGAUAAAGUAUAGCAAUAUAAGACUCGUUUCAAUGAUAAAAGUCUUAAAGAAAGUUUUGUCCAUUAGUGAACUUUUGUUGUCAUUUAGGCCGCUUUAUAUGUUUUUUUUUU